rnacentral:rRNA from 1 species
GACGAACGCUGGCGGCGCGCCUAACACAUGCAAGUCGAACGAGCGAGAGAGAGCUUGCUUUCUCGAGCGAGUGGCGAACGGGUGAGUAACGCGUGAGGAACCUGCCUCAAAGAGGGGGACAACAGUUGGAAACGACUGCUAAUACCGCAUAAGCCCACGGGUCGGCAUCGACCAGAGGGAAAAGGAGUAAUCCGCUUUGAGAUGGCCCCGCGUCCGAUUAGCUAGUUGGUGAGGUAACGGCCCACCAAGGCAACGAUCGGUAGCCGGACUGAGAGGUUGAACGGCCACAUUGGGACUGAGACACGGCCCAGACUCCUACGGGAGGCAGCAGUGGGGAAUAUUGCACAAUGGGGGAAACCCUGAUGCAGCGACGCCGCGUGGAGGAAGAAGGUCUUCGGAUUGUAAACUCCUGUUGUUGAGGAAGAUAAUGACGGUACUC